rnacentral:rRNA from 1 species
CCUACGGGAGGCAGCAGUGGGGAAUAUUGGACAAUGGGGGCAACCCUGAUCCAGCCAUGCCGCGUGUGUGAAGAAGGCCCUCGGGUUGUAAAGCACUUUCAGUGAGGAAGAACGCCUGGUGGUUAAUACCCAUCAGCAAAGACAUCACUCACAGAAGAAGCACCGGCUAACUCCGUGCCAGCAGCCGCGGUAAUACGGAGGGUGCGAGCGUUAAUCGGAAUUACUGGGCGUAAAGCGCGCGUAGGUGGCUUGAUAAGCCGGUUGUGAAAUCCCCGGGCUCAACCUGGGAACGGCAUCCGGAACUGUCAAGCUAGAGUGCAGGAGAGGAAGGUAGAAUUCCCGGUGUAGCGGUGAAAUGCGUAGAGAUCGGGAGGAAUACCAGUGGCGAAGGCGGCCUUCUGGACUGACACUGACACUGAGGUGCGAAAGCGUGGGUAGCAAACAGGAUUAGAUACCCUAGUAGUC